rnacentral:rRNA from 1 species
GACAGAGGGGGCAAGCGUUGCUCGGAAUCACUGGGCGUAAAGGGCGCGUAGGCGGGAUGGCAAGUCGGUCGUGAAAUCCCUGGGCUCAACUCAGGGGGGUCGGCCGAUACUGCCAUUCUUGAGGGAUGCAGAGGAGACUGGAAUUCCCGGUGUAGCGGUGAAAUGUGUAGAGAUCGGGAGGAACACCGGUGGCGAAGGCGGGUCUCUGGGCCGAUACUGACGCUGAGGUGCGAAAGCGUGGGGAGCAAACAGG